rnacentral:rRNA from 1 species
UACGGAGGGUUCAAGCGUUGUUCGGAAUCAUUGGGCGUAAAGCGCGUGUAGGCGGCCUGGUAAGUCGGGUGUGAAAUCCCGGGGCUCAACCCCGGAACUGCACUCGAAACUACCUCGCUAGAGUCUCGGAGAGGAAGGCGGAAUUCCCGGUGUAGAGGUGAAAUUCGUAGAUAUCGGGAGGAACACCAGCGGCGAAGGCGGCCUUCUGGACGGUGACUGACGCUGAGACGCGAAAGCGUGGGGAGCAAACAGG